GCGUCAGUAGCUCAGUUGGAUAGAGCACGGGCCUUCUAAGCCUGAGGUCGGGGGUUCGAACCCCUCCUGACGCGCCA
rnacentral:tRNA from 1 species